AUGCGCAAGGUGGGACAGGACCCUUCUAAUAAGGAGAACUGUGGGCCCACUGCCAUGUUGCCCUUCCCUUGCCGCUUUCUGCGUGGGAUUAGGGUCACAUUCUGGGGAGCUGCCCAAAGCUUUCAUUCUUGGGCAAGUUCAAGCCCAUGUCAGGCCCAGAGAAGUGCUAACUCAUUCUUUUACUUUGAGCAGAGAGGGCGGCGGGCACGUCCUCGUUCCGUGCUAAAUAUUCAGCUCACUCAAGGUGUCUGUGCCCUCGUGCAAGCUUCUGGCUGUCAGCGCUCACAGACCAUCUGCUUGGACUGCCCUGAGCCCCUCCUUCGGGGCACAGAACCUGGCAAUAAUGUGCCCCAUUUGGCAGCCUGUGUGACAUCUCUUCUGGGAUCAGAAGCCAGUUCCAGCCAAUUUAAGCGGAAACGGAGCUGAAACGGAGCUGUCGAAAAGCCGCUCGUGGAGCCAUUGGGAAGAAGAAACCUCCGCACAUCAAGCCAAAUGUUUUCGAGAAGCGUUUUGUGGUGGUAAACUGAUUGGGUGCUGAGACACCUCCGUCUUCGGCUCCCAUAUUCCCUGAUUUAUUUUGGCAUCGGGACGUCAGGAGCGCCACUGUCUAGCCCCAUGUGAAGGUUUCGUCUAUGCAAGGGAGUACACUGCAUAUGGUUUAUUUCAAUUAGCUUAAUUGUUUUUGGUAUUUAAUAGCUAGUUGUCUUAAUUAGCUUCCAAAGCACAACAAUGCCGACAACGGUAAUGACUGCAUCUUAUCCAUAUGGUUACAGAAGACGGAUGACUCCAUUUCCCAUCCUCAGGCUGUGCAAAUCUCCGGAGAGGACCCAGCAGAUGCGAGGGGAAGAAGAUGGAAGUCCUCCAGAGAACUGACCCGGCCUUGAAUGCAAAACCCGAAUAUUAAGAAUAAAUGAGGAGGUGAUGGACAGGGGAAUAAAACAGGAGAAUGAAGGAUUUAUGCAGGACUCGAGUCAUCUAUUUUCUUAAUGUGCAUACCAUGGAGUGUUGCUGAGUGAGUAAUAACAACAAAUUUCAUGGUGCCAGCAGGCUCUAUUGGUUCUGAUCUGCAAAGGCAAUGUUUGAAGACCAAAUUGUAGGACACUGAAAGUGAGAAAUGCCCCCAAGAGCAAUAUGUCUUGGGAAAAGCUGGUACCCGUCAAAACGUGGGUGACGUUUCUUUGGCAAAUCUGGCUUAGAAGGAGUUCAUAGCUAGUGCCUGGCAUAUAUUCAAAGCUUAAUAUAUGUUUUAAUCAGCACCUGUCAGGAAAUCCUUUGGGCUCAAUCUUCAGAAUAUAUCUAGAACCUGCCGCCAGCACAUCCUUAACUGCUAUAAUCCCGCUCCGAUCUGUCAUCAUGUUUGACCUGCCCGCCCUGCCCAGUCUCCCCACUUGUCCCCCCUGCAUCUACCCUCAGCUCCUACAGUUAAUUCUGAACACAGCAGCCAGAGGAAUAUAUUUUUUAAAGAUUUUUUUUAUUUAUAUGAGAGAGAGAAAGAGUGAACAAGCACGUGAAGGAGGAGGAGGGUCAGAGGGAGAACCAGACUCCCCGCUGAGCAGGGAGCCCGACGCGGGGCUCGAUCCUGGGUCUCCGGGAUCAUGAUCUGAGCUGAAGGUGGACGUUUAACUGACUGAGCCACUGAGGUGCCCCAAGAGGAAUCUUUUGAAAUGUAAAUCAUAUCAUAUCACUGCCCUUCUCCGAACUUUCUAAUGGCUCCCACCUCACUCGGAAUGAAAGCUGAGUCCUUGAGAUGACCAGUCAGGUACCUGAUCUGGUCUUACUUCCCUGAGCUCAUCUGCUCCUCCUUUGCCCCUUUCCCUCCCCUGCAC
ensembl:lncRNA